UACGGAGGGGGCUAGCGUUGUUCGGAAUUACUGGGCGUAAAGGGCUCGUAGGUGGCCAACUAAGUCGGACGUGAAAUCCCUCGGCUUAACCGGGGAACUGCAUCCGAUACUGGAUGGCUUGAGUUCGGGAGAGGGAUGCGGAAUUCCAGGUGUAGCGGUGAAAUGCGUAGAUAUCUGGAGGAACACCGGUGGCGAAGGCGGCAUCCUGGGACCGACACUGACGCUGAGGAGCGAAAGCCAGGGGAGCAAACGGG
rnacentral:rRNA from 1 species